GGGACAGCCUCGGGAAACCGUGGGUAAUACCGGAUACUCCGGGACGGCCGCAUGGCCGGCCCGGGAAAGCCCAGACGGGAGGGGAUGGGCCCGCGGCCUGUUAGCUAGUCGGCGGGGUAACGGCCCACCGAGGCGAUUAUGGGUAGCCGGGUUGAGAGACCGACCGGCCAGAUUGGGACUGAGACACGGCCCAGACUCCUACGGGAGGCAGCAGUGGGGAAUCUUGCGCAAUGGGCGGAAGCCUGACGCAGCGACGCCGCGUGCGGGACGAAGGCCUUCGGGUCGUAAACCGCUUUCAGCAGGGACGAGGCCCUCACGGUGACGGUACCUGCAGAAGAAGCCCCGGCUAACUACGUGCCAGCAGCCGCGGUAAUACGUAGGGGGCGAGCGUUAUCCGGAUUCAUUGGGCGUAAAGCGCGCGUAGGCGGCCUGUUAGGUCGGGGGUCAAAUACCGGGGCUCAACCCCGGUCCGCCCCCGAUACCGGCAGGCUUGAGUCUGGUAGGGGAAGGCGGAAUUUCCAGUGUAGCGGUGGAAUGCGCAGAUAUUGGGAAGAACACCGGCGGCGAAGGCGGCCUUCUGGGCCACGACUGACGCUGAGGCGCGAAAGCUAGGGGAGCGAACAGGAUUAGAUACCCUGGUAGUCCUAGCCGUAAACGAUGACAGCUAGGUGUGGGGG
rnacentral:rRNA from 1 species